rnacentral:rRNA from 1 species
CGUUAGUCGUAUAGUUGAGUGUAUAAUAUAUUUAGAGUUUAUUUUUAUAAAUCAAAAAAAAAAAUUAAUAAAAAUAAAAAAUAUUUUUUUUAUUUAAAAUCCUUAAAAAAUAGCGAUAAAAUGCAAAAAUUUUUUAUAUAUUUUUAAUAAUUAAUUUUUUUAAUAAAAAAAUAUUUGUAUUUAUAUAUUAAAGUAUAGGUAAUGAAUAGGAUUGGAGACCCUAAUAGUCUAUACUAUAAAAAAUGAUGAUUAGCAUAAGCUAAACUAACGUAAGAAUCAUCUACUUGGGAAGUAUUAUUGCAAAAUAAAAACUUAACAGAAUUGGCGGAAAUUUGUUCUAACGGUGGAGCAUGUGGUUUAAUACGAUAAUCCACGUAAAAUCUUACUAAUAUAAAAUUUAAUUUUUUAUAAAAAUUAAUUUUUUAUAAAUUUAAAAUUAAAAUCGGUAUUGCAUGGCUGUCGUCAGUUCGUGUUUUGAAAUGUAAAAUUAAGUUUUUUUUACAAACGAAAUCUUUAUAAUAUUGUAAAAAAUUUAAUAUUAUAUAUAAAAGCUGAAGUCAAGUCUUUUUGAUCUUUAUAUAUUGGGCUACACACGUGCUACAAUGAUAAAAACAAAAAGUUGUAAAUAAGUAAUUAUGAACUAAUCUUUAAAAAUUAUCUUAGUACAGAUUGUUUUUUGUAACUCAAAAGCAUGAAGAUGGAAUCGUUAGUAAUCGUAUAUUAAUAUAAUACGGUGAAUAAAAAGUCAAAUUUUACACACACUGCCCAUCACACUCGAAAAAUUAAAUGUAUGUUUAUAAAAUAUAAUAAAAACUUUUUAAAAAAACUUUUUUUUUUCUA